UACGGAGGGGGCUAGCGUUGUUCGGAAUUACUGGGCGUAAAGCGUACGUAGGCGGCUUUGUAAGUUAGAGGUGAAAGCCCGGGGCUUAACCCCGGAAUUGCCUUUAAGACUGCAUCGCUAGAAUCAUGGAGAGGUGAGUGGAAUUCCCAGUGUAGAGGUGAAAUGCGUAGAUAUUGGGAAGAACACCAGUGGCGAAGGCGGCUAACUGGACCGGUACUGACGCUGAGGUGCGAAAGCGUGGGGAGCAAACAGG
rnacentral:rRNA from 1 species